rnacentral:miRNA from 1 species
UUGGCUCUGUUCCCUAUUUCC